rnacentral:rRNA from 1 species
GACGAACGCUGGCGGCGUGCUUAACACAUGCAAGUCGAACGGCAAGGCCCUGCUUUUGUGGGGUGCUCGAGUGGCGAACGGGUGAGUAACACGUGUGUAACCUGCCCUUGACUUUGGGAUAACUUCAGGAAACUGGGGCUAAUCCCGGAUAGGAGCUCCUGCUGCAUGGUGGGGGUUGGAAAGUUUCGGCGGUUGGGGAUGGACUCGCGGCUUAUCAGCUUGUUGGUGGGGUUGUGGCUUACCAAGGCUUUGACGGGUAGCCGGCCUGAGAGGGUGACCGGCGACAUUGGGAAUGAGAUACCGCCCAGACUCCUACGGGAGGCAGCAGUAGGGAAUAUUACACAAUGGGCGGAAGCCUGAGGCAGCAACGCCGCGUGCGGGAUGACGGCCUUCGGGUUGUAAACCGCUUUAGCCUGUGACGAAGCGUGAGUGACGGUAAUGGGUAAAGAAGCACCGGCUAACUACGUG